GGAGGCAGCAGUAGGGAAUCUUCCACAAUGGACGCAAGUCUGAUGGAGCAACGCCGCGUGAGUGAAGAAGGCUUUCGGGUCGUAAAACUCUGUUGUUGGAGAAGAAUGGUCGGCAGAGUAACUGUUGUCGGCGUGACGGUAUCCAACCAGAAAGCCACGGCUAACUACGUGCCAGCAGCCGCGGUAAUACGUAGGUGGCAAGCGUUAUCCGGAUUUAUUGGGCGUAAAGCGAGCGCAGGCGGUUUUUUAAGUCUG
rnacentral:rRNA from 1 species